rnacentral:rRNA from 1 species
ACGUAAUCUGCCGCAAAAGUGUUGCGGUUCACCGCAUCAAUUGGAUACCCUGGCGAAACGCGAGGCUAAUACAUGAAUCUCAAAGGGCGGCUCAGACACAGGCUUCGGCCUUGGGUGCCCUGCAGAUGAAUGAAAUCAAAACCAACGCCCAGCAAUGGGCAGCAACACCCAGUAGUGUUGAAUCAAUUCAUCUCGUGCGAAAGCCGAUUUAUCGGCGUAUUUUGACGAACAACUGCCCUAUCAGCCUUUGAUGUCCGUGUAGUGGACUGCCAUGGCGUUGACGGGAGCGGGGGAUUAGGGUUCGAUUCCGGAGAGGGAGCCUGAGAAAUGGCUACCACUUCUACGGAGGGCAGCAGGCGCGCAAAUUGCCCAAUGCCGAAACAAAUGAUGAGGCAGCGAAAAGAAAUAGGUGCCCUAAAUGCUCUGCAUUUAGGGCUUUCAAUGACCGGUAUUUAAAACCACCGAACAUCGAGUAACAAUUGGAGGACAAGUCUGGUGCCAGCACCCGCGGUAAUUCCAGCUCCAAGAGCGUAUAUUAACGCUGUUGCUGUUAAAGGGUUCGUAGUUGAAUUGUGGGUUUGUCGGAUGUUGAUCCUGUCCUCUUCGCAACGAAGCAGG